AUGUGGGAAGACUAAAGUCCUCCAGCCCUGCCCAUCUAAUAUCUGAAUACAGCAAUAUGAGUGACACCAGCUGACACAGCAAGGAGCAAUGUAUCACACAGGUGUAUGAGGGUGACUUGGAAUCUGCAGUAAGAAGGAAAGGAAAGAUGGAAGUUCGUGCCUCAUGAAUAUCCCACCUCUUCCGCGUGCAUCUCCAAGAAGACCUGUUUCACAAGUCACCCUUCCAGCAAUGGGACAAGCAAUGGCAAAGAAUCAUUUUUUUUCUUAUAUUUUUUUUCAACUAGAGCAUAUUCUAAAUCCUCCUAGAAAACGUUUCUAGUAUUGCUCUCUAAUUUGUGUUAUUGCUUUGUGUCAGGAUAUUGAUUUUCAUUUUGAUUUUUACUGAAAGUGAAGUUAGACAUUGUUAGCUGUGAGCACUCAAUUAUAGUUUAAUGACUGUUUUGCAAUGAGAUAAUAUUCCUGUUUCCCUCCUCUGGGAAAACCAGUUCUGUAAGAUGUACAGAACCCAGUCCUCGUGGUGGAUUUGCAUCCUCUCAUUUUCCUCACUCCAUCACUGUAUUUGGCUCUGUUGCUCAGCACCUUAACUCUGUGUGCCAAGGUCUUUGGCAGUUCAGUCUGGAAAAGUAAACGCUAUUUACCCAAAAGACAGUAAUUUUAAACUCCCCUUUCGGAUGGUCUCCAGUGAGAAAUGAAGCUGAGGAGGUGGAGAGGCCAGGAGGGGCUCUUCCUCCAGCUGUUGGAAGCAAUCUUGGCUUGGAGAAGAAUGUCUGAUCCAACCACAGCACACUGGAAAUGUUGGAGCCAUCAGUAUCCAGGGAGCAAUUCCAGACAAGGCCUAACUUUCAACUGCCCAGGCUUUUCAUGAACGAUUCUGGUCGUUUCUCUGUUUAGGGAGUUCCCUUUGGCAGGAGCUGCGAUUUACACAACAGAAGGUAGUAUCACUGGCAGCGGAGCCUGCCUCUUAGAAUCCCCUACCCAGGCAGUACUCAGCUCCCUCUUCUGCUUCGUGCUCCAAAGCUGGGAACCCACUGAAAACCCCUGCUAUGCAAGCCCUUUUAUUUAGAUUCAAGCAGCUUUAUUUUCACUUCCUUCCCUUCGACAUGCAGGAUACUCUUUCUCAAAGGCAGAUUAGAUGUUCAACACUCUGACUACAUUCAACUGAAACCCCAGGCGAUCCCCAUUAAAAGCCAGUCAGGCUUUGGGGGAGAUGCCAGAGGGGGUGUCGUUGUGACUUGUUCUUUGUGGAAGCCUAAGCCAGUGUCUGGUGUCUUCUAUGUCUGGUGUAGCCCAGCUGGUGAGGGGGCCGCUGCCAAGCACUGAGAAGUUAGCAUAUUGCGUCCUCAUUACAUUCAACUAUCUCUCUCUCUCUCUUUUUUUUUUUUUUGUCAUGCAACUUGAGUGUGUUUGGGGCUAUAAGGCCUCGAGUUUCUGCGUUCCGUGUCUUCUAUCAGCUGCUUUCACUCUCACAUUUGUGACGCCCAACAUUGCAACUGGGGCCUCCAGGGUGAGACUGCGCAUCCCUAGGAAGCAUUGUUGUGAUGGAGCCAAAAGACCUGUGUCUUCCAGGGACAUGAACUUCCCAGCCGAAUGUUACCACAACCAGUAACAGACGUAAAACUCGUGUCUUCCCUCUAGGGUCCAACAAAAAAAGCAAAAAUCCCAGAAGCUGGGCUGCAUUUUCACCUGGCCCAGUUAGAAUAGACUGCUGUGCUCAACUAGACAGAGGACUUCAUGGAAAAUGUGUUUCCCAGUCCCUUCUCUCCUAAUAUCCCUAUCAGGAGAGCGAUCACGCAUCCACCUGCAUAGAGGCAGAGAAAGAAAAGGAAAGAAAAAAGAUGAUAUUUUAUCUUGUAAGUUCUACUGCAGCCAAAUUGUUCUCCUCUAAGAAGUCUGGGAAAGCCGGGAAGGUGAGAGUAGAGAAAGAGCAUUUAUUGAGCACCAAUUAGUCAUCAAUUAUUAGGUGUUUGCCCUGUACUAGGUAGUGUGCUUCAUGUAUGUUUCAGGGACUUAAUGGUGAUUAUAUAUCUAGUCUUUAAAAUAACUAUAUAUUUUUGUCUUGGGACAAGGCUGAUUAUAACCUCCACUUUUACAGAUGAGAAAACUGAGGCCUCUUUCAGGCUGCACAACUUGCAUGUGGCAGAGCAAAACUCUGAAGCCAGGUGCAUUUUAACUCCAGAGCCUGUGCAGUUCCUACCCACUCUGAUCCUCUUACAGGGCCAUGUGAAAUGAUGUAGAAUAAUUAAGUUUAUUGUAUCAUGGCAUUGAAAUACCAGUUAAACAAUAAAAUCAUGAUGACAACAUAAUUCCAAAGAAAAAGUUGGUGUUAGGGUUAUGGGCAGUUUAUAUGUUCAACAAUUACAUACUUUUUGAUAUUGAUAUACAAGUAAAAUAAAGGAAAAAUUGUAUUUAUAAUGUUUACUGUGGGUCUGCUUCUGGGAGGGAAAGAACUGCUUUCAGUAGCCUUGGUGCUAAGACAAUAAGCCAGGGAGAGCCAGGGACACAUAGCCUCAUGCAUAGUAACAAAAUAAUCUCAUCCAAAAGGA